rnacentral:rRNA from 1 species
CAUGCAGUCGAGCGGAACGACUUAUCUGAACCUUCGGGGAACGAUAAGGGCGUCGAGCGGCGGACGGGUGAGUAAUGCCUAGGAAGUUGCCCGGUAGAGGGGGAUAACCAUUGGAAACGAUGGCUAAUACCGCAUAAUCUCUACGGAGCAAAGCAGGGGACCUUCGGGCCUUGUGCUACCGGAUACGCCUAGGUGGGAUUAGCUAGUUGGUGAGGUAAAGGCUCACCAAGGCGACGAUCCCUAGCUGGUCUGAGAGGAUGAUCAGCCACACUGGAACUGAGACACGGUCCAGACUCCUACGGGAGGCAGCAGUGGGGAAUAUUGCACAAUGGGCGAAAGCCUGAUGCAGCCAUGCCGCGUGUAUGAAGAAGGCCUUCGGGUUGUAAAGUACUUUCAGCAGUGAGGAAGGGUGUGUACUUAAUACGUGCAUAUCUUGACGUUAGCUGCAGAAGAAGCACCGGCUAACUCCGUGCCAGCAGCCGCGGUAAUACGGAGGGUGCGAGCGUUAAUCGGAAUUACUGGGCGUAAAGCGCAUGCAGGUGGUUCAUCAAGUCAGAUGUGAAAGCCCGGGGCUCAACCUCGGAACUGCAUUUGAAACUGUUGGACUAGAGUACUGUAGAGGGGGGUAGAAUU